CGCGUAGGCGGUUUCGUAAGUCAGAUGUGAAAGCCCGGGGCUUAACCUCGGAAGUGCGUCUGAUACUGCGAGGCUUGAGUAUGGGAGAGGGAAGUGGAAUUCCUGGUGUAGCGGUGAAAUGCGUAGAUAUCAGGAGGAACACCGGUGGCGAAGGCGACUUCCUGGACCAAUACUGACGCUGAGGCGCGAAGGCGUGGGGAGCAAACA
rnacentral:rRNA from 1 species